AGCAACUGAGGAAAGGGAGACAGUGGAAGUUGCCGCGUCUUGGAUGCUGCAGGAGAUGAAGAAUGCAGUCACGCGUGUAGAUUGGAAGAGGCCGGUUUGGAGCAGCGCGACGACCCUAUCCGCGAUGAAGAAGAAGGUUGUGCUGUGUCCGCCGGUGGAACAAGCUUGAGGCGAAGGCUGACCGAGGGUGACGCCACCGUGUUGUUCGCUGGUUGUGCGCCGGGUAUGGGCGACGCCGCUGGUGAGAGGAAGGCUAUAAGAGGAGCUAAUUCGGUAGGGGCAGAGGCUUAUAGGGUGGAAAACUUGUCUAACAGGGUGGAGGGGAUAGUGAUGCUUUUGGAAAAGGUUCAAGGGGUAGAGAGGUUGGACGGACACAGGAAUGACGCCUGUCAUCCAAUAGCUGGUGGUGGUAAUGCAGAUUUAGUGAAGGCAGGCUUAGGUUUGGAUUCGGUCAGUGAUAGAAAUAUGCCGGUUCAGAAUGUGGAGGAGGGAUAUAGUGAUAGAGAGAACCAUUUAAGGGAACAAGGACACACAAACGAUGAUGAGGACAGCAGUAAUGAGUAUGUAACUUUGGAUGAGCAAUUGCUGGAAAACCGAAAGACAUGGGAGCUAGCGAAAGAAUCCGGAGCAAUUCUGCUUAAUGAAGAAGAUGACAUUAUAGCUAUCCUCCAAAAACAGAACGAAGAGAUUGCUCAAAAAAGAAGAUUGGCAAAACAGAAGGCUAAAGCAAGACGGAACAGACCCAAAAAUCCCAAAAAGGUGUGUAAUAAUAAUUUAAAUUGAGUAUUAGUUCAUGGAAUAUUAGGAGGUUAAGGGAUGAUGGGAAGUUGUGGAUGGUGAAAGAACUUAAGAGGAAACAUAGGUUGGAUAUGUUAGGUUUGGUAGAGACUAAAAGACAGUUAGUGACAAAGUUUGAUGUUUUAAAAAUUUGGGGGAACGGUUGUGCGGGGUGGGAGUAUGUGGAGUCUGAUGCUGCAUCUGGCGGGUUGUUGCUAAUGUGGGAUGAUGGUUUCUUUAAAAUGGGAAAUUGCUAUAAAGGUGAGCGAUGGCUAUGUGUUGAAGGAAUAUUGUCAGAGAAUUCUAUUAACUGUGUUUUUUUCUUGGUUUAUGGUGCUCACACUAGAGAUGAGAAAUGUGUUAUGUGGGAGGAGUUGAGUUACAUAGCUGGGCUAUGUUCAGGCGCCUGUUGUUUUCUGGGGGGGACUUUAAUGAGAUUGGACAAGUGGAAGAAAGGCGAGGCUUAGAUAGCUUACCUUUGUCGGCACAAGACUAUAAGAAUUGGAUACAUGACAUGGGUUUGGUAGACCUGCCGAUUUUUUACUGUUUUAUAGGGCAGGAAUGACUUAAAGGAUGGAAAGGAAACAUAUAAAAAUGGAAGGAAAUUGAAGUCCUUGGAAGAAACUGGCAGUGACGCGUCUGCAUGGACGACGUGAGCGCGUGGUUCGCUCAAAAGAGAAUCGACGCGAGCGCAUGGAUGAGGCGAACGCGUGACCUGCGAAACACAACUGACGCGGGCGCAUGACUGACACGACCGCGUGGAAAAGCAACACUCCAGAUGACGCGACCGCGUGACCCACGCAGACACGUGGCAUGCGCGAUCUGCAUAAUUUGCAGAAGUCGUCCUCAGCGAUUUCUGGGCCCCUUUUGGCCCAGAUCCAAGCCCAGAGAAUACAGAUUGAAGGAUUAUAAAUGGAGGAAUUCAUCCAUUCAUGAGCAUAUGGAGAUUAGAGACUGAAUACUGGAUUCAUACAUAGUUUUAGGAUUUAGAUGUAGUUUUUAGAGAGAGAGGUUCUCCCCUCUCUCUUAGGAUUAGAAUUAGGAUUUAUCUUAUUAGGAUUAUCUCUUCAUCACAGGUUCAAUGUCCUUUUUAUUUGUCUUUCCAAUUUGAUUCAUGAACUUGUCCAUGUUAGA